AUGAAGAACCAAUUGGGGAACAGGAUCUCAGCAUCAGAACUACCAUUACAAGGGAACUGGCAAUGAGAGACAAAUGAUAUACAUGGAAUGAUGUCAGUUUAAACCAGACUCCGGCUAUUUCAAGCAUAGAAGCUUCUAAUUGACUUUCAGAGCUGUAAUGCAUGUCUGGGACUCAUGGAGAAUAUGAACAAACUCACUGCAAAGCCUUCUGGAUACUUUCUCCCAGGUAACAAUUGUUCCCAUUAUCACAGGUCAGCCAGGAGGAGGAAACAGCCUCCUGCUGGUUGUCCCCAAAUGAUGCUGAUGUAGAGUCCUGGACAUGCAGUCCUUAAGAGCAGCUGUGUUCUUCCACCCUACAUCUCCCCUCUGCCUUAUCUCUGAUGAGCACCCACUGGCACUGAAUGUGUAACUGCCUGUGGCCUUAAAGAUGCCUUUGUUUGUUUGCUUGCUUGCUUUCUGAGCCCAUACUCUUUAUACUCUCCUGCUAAGCAAGGUGUUCGUUUCUAGUCUUGUUAGUCUCAACUGGGUUAUGGCAGCACAUGGCAGCACUUAGAAGGUAGAGGUGGGUGUGACACAGGAACUAGCUCACUUCAGGUAGUAAGUAGAAAUAUAAAGGGACCAAGGCUGAAAUCUCAAAGUGGCUCACAAGUAUCUUGGUGAAGACAGAAGCUGGAGUUAAAUGGAGGAACAGGGAUUAACACAGCAGAGUCUGGAGCACUGAGGAAGAGGUAGGAGAGAGCUGGCAGCUGAGUGGCAGUGAAGCUAAAAUAGUAGAAAGAAGGAAGGAUGCUGGAGCAGUGAUGGCAUGCUGGCACCCUGCCACCCAAACCCUUCAGGAGAAAAUGUGAGCCAUGAUUGUCCUUUCAUGUGUCCUUAAUUCUGACGCAGCUAAUUGUAACAUAAAGAUAGUUUCUAAUACAAUUUUUGUGUAUGAGGGUACCUCAGGCAAUCCAGAGGCAAGUAGCUAAAUACAAGGUGACCAAGAAAGGUUGCAGCUAAAUUUUGGAGGCUGGGAUAGAAUUAACUCGUAAAGCUGCAAGCUGACCUUGCACACUGAGAACAAAGAGACUUUACCAUGAUGAGGAACACUGAGACAACUGCCAAGUGACUACUAGCUGAUAGACAAUCAAGGCCCACAAUUAGCAAAACUGGAACCAGAGCAGACAGAAGCCAUCUCUACUGUCUGGACAGCACAUGAACAGCUCGUGGUCCUCUCCUUGCUUGAGCCAGAGGCAUAGACACAGAACAUGUGGGCCUACCAUUUACUCAGCCCAUGAUAACCCAAAGAAUUAGCUAGUCUCAGUAGAGAUUACCUCAGCCUCUGACAUUUCUCCCAUGCCCUAUAAAAAUUCCACAGAAAGAGGUUCAGCAGCUUCUUCCUGAGUUGGAAAGCCAUUCCACUCCUGGGAAUUUCUCUCACAUUUAUGCAGUUUCUCAUUUUCCCUCCAUUUUUUGCUUUUCUGUAGUAAUUCUUUAUUAGCUUAGUUCUGCUUUGCCUAGCCUCACAGGAGUCCUUAAUGUUCACUAGCGGAGGAUCUUUGAUGAUGAUAUGUAUCUGGAAUUUUGGGUCCUUGGUUCAAGCACUAAUCUGUGUAAGAUCUUAUCACUCUAAAACUUUGUCAGGAGAAUGAGAAUUGAAGGUCAGCCUGGGCUACAGAAGACUCUACUUCAAAGAGACAGAAGUAAAAAUAGAAUUAGGAGGAGGGAAAAGAGAAGGAACAAGAAGGGAAUAAAACAGGGGAUGAGGAGGAAAAGAAGGAGGAAAAGAAAGGAGAAAAAGCAGACAGAGGAAGCAUGAAGAAGACAAAAGAGGAAGGAGGGAGGAGGAAGAUGGGGGAGAAGAAGAAGAAGAAGGAGGAAGAAGAGAGGGGGAGAAGGAUGGAGGAGGAGGUAGGGAGGAGAAGGAGGCAGGAGGAAGAAAGGGGGAGGAGGAAGAAGGAGGGAAGAGGAGAAGAGGAGGAGGAAGGAGGGAGAAGAAGGAGCAGGAAGAAGGAGAGAGGGGGAAGAAGACUUUUUUAGUGCUGAAUGGAGAGUCCACAUCUCAAUAAUUUGAAAAACAAUUUCAAUUUAAGUGUCUUUUAAGUAUUUGAUCAUCAAAUGCCAACCCCCAGGAUCUGCUAUUCUUUUUUGUUUUGUUUUGUUUUUGUUUUUCGAGACAGGGUUUCUCUGUAUAGCCCAGGCUGUCCUGGAACUCACUUUGUAGACCAGGUUGGCCUCAAACUCAAAUAUCUGCCUGCCUCUGCCUCCCAAGUGCUGGGAUUAAAGACAUGCGCCACCAUACCUGGCUCAGCAGAAAGUCCUAACAUGUGAUACUUAGCAAUAAUUCACAUGGUGAAUCCCAGCUAGCAGACCCUGCUACUCAGUUGGAGAUGGACAGCAUUGUGCUGUCCAUCACUACUGAAAAGUCAAGGGAGAGCAAGAAGAGAGCAUCUCCCUGGAUCCCAGACUAAAUGAUGACUUUACUGCAAAAUCCCACGGACAACAAACUAGGCCACUUUAUCCAAACUGCACUCAAAGUACCUCUACAGCCCCUUCCCUGAAGAGCCUUAUGUGUUCUCUAGGUGAGAUUGGUGUUUUCUGAAAUUCAGAGAUUCUUCCAUUUUCAAAUCUCAAAAUCAAGACCUCAUUUGAUUCAAUAUAUUACCUACACUCAGGAUGUUGGUUGUGUACCAAGAAGAAUAAAAAAUAGUUUAUUUGACCUUUUGUUAUUUUUAACAGGGUGUGUGUAUGGUACUAAUUUUCCAUAAAAAGAGGAAAUGUGUCUUUUGAUAAAGUAAAGAAUCAAUCCAUGAAUACACAGCAGGACAACUGGCAGUCCCUUUGAGUCGUUCCAUCAUCCAAACCCAGUAUGAACAACUUCUGACUGUGCAAAUGAGGAGGGAAUGCUCUGGGUGGGCCAAGGGUCACUAAAAGAAAAAGGCAUGAUGGGGGCUCAUCAGAAGAGCAAGACAGAGGAUUAGGAUUUACAGAAAAAAAUAAGGAAACAUGAGAGGAAAGUUCUUGAAAUGCCUUGUCCUGUGUAUAGAGGCCAGAGGACCACUUUCAGGAGUCCUCUGUUUUCUCUGACCAUGCUGUGGGUCCCUAGAAUCAAAGUUCUAAUUCAAUAUUAUUUUGUUUUAUUCCGUUUAUGUUACUGGAUUCACUUGUUGCUCAAAUUAUUCAGAUGUGGCCACUGGGAGCUCCCUCAGUUGGCCCCUAUUUUCUUUUGGCACAAAACCAUCAUUGUGCUUUGCUUUUGCUUAAUGUUCUCUUACCACCUUGUGUAUUUCUUGUCCCAGACCUAACAUCAGCUAUUUCUCCAAGAAGCCAUUUCAUUUAAAUGGUGACUGUUAGCAGAAACCAAACCAGGGUGGAGGUAAACUUGUUCCUGGUGUGGUGUCAUUUCUUCUGCUGUAGUUCAGUCCACAGAACAAUAUGUAUGUGUGUGUCCUGCUAGUCCGUGAACAUGCAUCUUUUCAAUAUAUACAUAUACAUAUACACAAACAUUAUAUACACAUAUAUACCACAUACACACACAUACAUACACAAUACACAUAUCAUAUACAUAUACACAUACAUAUGCAUAUAUAUAUCGUCACUUAUGUGAAGCUAAGUGUGAGUUUAAACUUGUGUUUCAAUGUAAUCAUGUGGAUCAUACAAGAUUGCCUGGUGGUUAACCAGCAUAGUCUAUGGCACACAACUUUUUCAGCUACCCCCAGUGUAAACAUGCCCUUUCUUCUUAAGCCUCUGGUUUUACAGACUCCUCUGGGUGCUAAAGCCACUUUAGUCAGUGCCCUCAUCCCUCGUCCCCUUCAGGAAAGUUCUUUCACACAUUUGUAACACAGAGGGCUCAGUCACAGUCUGAAUUCUGUUCUGAAAUUCCUGAAUAAGCAAUGCUAAAUUUGUGUGCAUUAGAAUUCAUUCUUUGUGGUAUAGACUUUAAUGUUUUUAAACAAUGUAGGAUGUAAUUUGAAUGCAUUUAAUACUACGGAACAGUUUUCUCACCUUAAAAAGAAACCUGUGCUUUCUCAGUUCAAGUCUUCUUCCUCCAUCAGUGAGUCUCUGUCAGCCACAAACGGUUUUGCUGUGUCUACAGUUGUACCUUUUCCAGAGUGUCAUACAAUUGACAUAUAUUAUGUGGCCCUUUGAGACUGAGUUUCUUCAUGCAGCAGCUUAUACGUGUUAGAGUGUGAAUAGCAGGUGUCUCCCAAACUCAUACAUUGAAAUGCUAAUCUUCAGGAUAGUGGCAUUGUAGGUGACCCCAAGUCCAGGUGAGAAGCUAUUGAUAGUUCAAGGUUCCAGGAGAGGGAGAGUCAGUUUUAUUUAAGAGUGCAGGUUGACCAUGUUCCAGUGGGUGAAUCUACACUUAGGAGUAUAUGAGCCACAUAAAUUGGACUGAAUGGGUUAAAAAAUUAUGUGAAGUUGGAAAGAGGCUGGAGAGAUUGGGGAUGGAUCUAGAAAGAUAGGGGGAAGACUAAGAGGCAGACAUGAUCAAAAAUAGAUUAUAUGCAUUUGUGAAAAUCUUGAAGAAUUAGUGAAAAUAUUACAUUGAUUAAAUUAUCUUCUCCAUUGGGUUGUUUCAACUGGAAGAGUGUAUGAGCACAUCUUAUAUCCAGUCUCAUCUCCUCUGGUAUUUGUUCAGAGGUAGAACUUUACUCACUCCUUAUGUAGAGGUGCAUUGCUUCUUCCAGUGAAAUCAUCUCUUCCUGAUCUGUGGCUAUGGUCAAGGCACCCUAUGACCCAGUUAUCAAGGGACAUUCCUGAGUUAAGACUACAGGCCUCAGGUUCUAUGUGGGGUGGCACUUGACAUGUUUUUUUCUUCAUCCCUCCCUUCCUUUCUUCCUUCUUUACUUCAUUCCUUCUUCCCUCCCUCCCUUUAUUCUUUCCCUCCUUCUUUCUUUCCUUCCUUCUUCCUUUUGUUCUUUUUGUUUUCUUUUGUGAGAAAGAACCUCACAGAUUUGGCACUAUCUUUUUGACCUUGUGUUCUUCCUCACUCUAGACUUAUAGGUUUAUGUCAUUAUGCUCAGCUGAGAUAUUUUGCCUUCUUGUGUGACAAGGCUCUUCCAGGGAAGGCAUCAUAUAUGUGUGGAGAGCCGUGCCGUGAGCAAUCGCCAUUAUAAGAUGGCACUGGCUUCCACUGUGCCUAACUAGUAAACAAGCCUUAUGUGCAAGUGCAAGAGUGAACUCACACCUAGUCACUGCCCAUCCUGCGGUGUAGUAAUGGGGUGAUGGGUGAGCAACGAAUCAGGAGCUGUCAUGCCACAUCAGGUGCUGAAAUGUCACGCUGCAGGCUAUAUAAGCAGCGCCAUUUUCCCGGUUCGGGGGUCUUCCCUCCUGAUAAGUAAGCAAUAAAAGCUUUGCCGCAGAAGAUUCUGGUUGUCCUGAGUGUGUUCUUGCCAGUGGAGACAAAAGCUCGGGAUAAGUGGCGCUGAGAAACCCGGGAACUACCAUCACACCGGCGCAAGGGAGAUCCCUCGUUCACGAGGCAGAACCAGAACUGCGGGACAAAUUACAGCUUUACGAGGUAUGUCUGGCCUUGAACUUUCUCCAGUGUUAGAAGCCUUUUUGU
rnacentral:lncRNA from 1 species